UAAGCGACUAAGCGUACACGGUGGAUGCCCUGGCAGUCAGAGGCGAUGAAGGACGUGCUAAUCUGCGAAAAGCGUCGGUAAGGUGAUAUGAACCGUUAUAGCCGGCGAUGUCCGAAUGGGGAAACCCAGUGCAAUUCGUUGCACUAUCGUUAACUGAAUACAUAGGUUAACGAGGCGAACCGGGGGAACUGAAACAUCUAAGUACCCCGAGGAAAAGAAAUCAACCGAGAUUCCCCCAGUAGCGGCGAGCGAACGGGGAGCAGCCCGGAGUCUGAAUCAGCUUGUGUGUUAGUGGAAGCGUCUGGAAAGUCGCAGGGUACAGGGUGAUACUCCCGUACACUAAAACACACAGGUUGUGAACUCGAAGAGUAGGGCGGGACACGUGGUAUCCUGUCUGAAUAUGGGGGGACCAUCCUCCAAGGCUAAAUACUCCUGACUGACCGAUAGUGAACCAGUACCGUGAGGGAAAGGCGAAAAGAACCCCGGCGAGGGGAGUGAAAAAGAACCUGAAACCGUGUACGUACAAGCAGUAGGAGCCCACUUGUUGGGUGACUGCGUACCUUUUGUAUAAUGGGUCAGCGACUUAUAUUCUGUAGCAAGGUUAACCGUAUAGGGGAGCCGCAGGGAAACCGAGUCUUAACUGGGCGCUAAGUUGCAGGGUAUAGACCCGAAACCCGGUGAUCUAGCCAUGGGCAGGUUGAAGGUUGGGUAACACUAACUGGAGGACCGAACCGACUAAUGUUGAAAAAUUAGCGGAUGACUUGUGGCUGGGGGUGAAAGGCCAAUCAAACCGGGAGAUAGCUGGUUCUCCCCGAAAGCUAUUUAGGUAGCGCCUCGUGAACUCAUCUUCGGGGGUAGAGCACUGUUUCGGCUAGGGGGUCAUCCCGACUUACCAACCCGAUGCAAACUACGAAUACCGAAGAAUGUUAUCACGGGAGACACACGGCGGGUGCUAACGUCCGUCGUGAAGAGGGAAACAACCCAGACCGCCAGCUAAGGUCCCAAAGUCAUGGUUAAGUGGGAAACGAUGUGGGAAGGCCCAGACAGCCAGGAUGUUGGCUUAGAAGCAGCCAUCAUUUAAAGAAAGCGUAAUAGCUCACUGGUCGAGUCGGCCUGCGCGGAAGAUGUAACGGGGCUAAACCAUGCACCGAAGCUGCGGCAGCGACGCUUAUGCGUUGUUGGGUAGGGGAGCGUUCUGUAAGCCGUUGAAGGUGGCCUGUGAGGGUUGCUGGAGGUAUCAGAAGUGCGAAUGCUGACAUAAGUAACGAUAAUGCGGGUGAAAAACCCGCACGCCGGAAGACCAAGGGUUCCUGUCCAACGUUAAUCGGGGCAGGGUGAGUCGACCCCUAAGGCGAGGCCGAAAGGCGUAGUCGAUGGGAAACAGGUUAAUAUUCCUGUACUCGGUGUUACUGCGAAGGGGGGACGGAGAAGGCUAUGUUGGCCGGGCGACGGUUGUCCCGGUUUAAGCAUGUAGGCGGAUGUUCCAGGUAAAUCCGGAACGUCACUAACGCUGAGGUGUGAUGACGAGGCACUACGGUGCUGAAGUGACAAAUGCCCUGCUUCCAGGAAAAGCCUCUAAGCAUCAGGUAACAUCAAAUCGUACCCCAAACCGACACAGGUGGUCAGGUAGAGAAUACCAAGGCGCUUGAGAGAACUCGGGUGAAGGAACUAGGCAAAAUGGUGCCGUAACUUCGGGAGAAGGCACGCUGAUGGUAGGUGAAGUGACUUGCUCAUGGAGCUGAAAUCAGUCGAAGAUACCAGCUGGCUGCAACUGUUUAUUAAAAACACAGCACUGUGCAAACACGAAAGUGGACGUAUACGGUGUGACGCCUGCCCGGUGCCGGAAGGUUAAUUGAUGGGGUUAUCCGUAAGGAGAAGCUCUUGAUCGAAGCCCCGGUAAACGGCGGCCGUAACUAUAACGGUCCUAAGGUAGCGAAAUUCCUUGUCGGGUAAGUUCCGACCUGCACGAAUGGCGUAAUGAUGGCCAGGCUGUCUCCACCCGAGACUCAGUGAAAUUGAACUCGCUGUGAAGAUGCAGUGUACCCGCGGCAAGACGGAAAGACCCCGUGAACCUUUACUAUAGCUUGACACUGAACACUGGUCCUUGAUGUGUAGGAUAGGUGGGAGGCUUUGAAGUGUGGACGCCAGUCUGCAUGGAGCCAUCCUUGAAAUACCACCCUUUAAUGGCUGGUGUUCUAACGUGGGCCCCUAAUCGGGGUUGCGGACAGUGUCUGGUGGGUAGUUUGACUGGGGCGGUCUCCUCCUAAAGAGUAACGGAGGAGCACGAAGGUCAGCUAAUCCUGGUCGGACAUCAGGAGGUUAGUGCAAUGGCAUAAGCUGGCUUGACUGCGAGCGUGACGGCGCGAGCAGGUGCGAAAGCAGGUCAUAGUGAUCCGGUGGUUCUGAAUGGAAGGGCCAUCGCUCAACGGAUAAAAGGUACUCCGGGGAUAACAGGCUGAUACCGCCCAAGAGUUCAUAUCGACGGCGGUGUUUGGCACCUCGAUGUCGGCUCAUCACAUCCUGGGGCUGAAGUAGGUCCCAAGGGUAUGGCUGUUCGCCAUUUAAAGUGGUACGCGAGCUGGGUUUAGAACGUCGUGAGACAGUUCGGUCCCUAUCUGCCGUGGGCGCUGGAGAAUUGAGGGGGGCUGCUCCUAGUACGAGAGGACCGGAGUGGACGCAUCACUGGUGUUCGGGUUGUCAUGCCAAUGGCAUUGCCCGGUAGCUAAAUGCGGAAGAGAUAAGUGCUGAAAGCAUCUAAGCACGAAACUUGCCCCGAGAUGAGUUCUCCCUGACUCCUUGAGAGUCCUGAAGGAACGUUGAAGACGACGACGUUGAUAGGCCGGGUGUGUAAGCGCAGCGAUGCGUUGAGCUAACCGGUACUAAUGAACCGUGAGGCUUAACCUUACAACGCCGAAG
rnacentral:rRNA from 1 species